rnacentral:rRNA from 1 species
UACAGAGGUGGCAAGCGUUGUUCGGAAUUACUGGGCGUAAAGCGCGUUCAGGCGGCUUGACAAGUCGGGCAUGAAAUCUCUCGGCUCAACCGGGAGGGGCUGUCCGAUACUGUCGGGCUUGAGGGCAGUAGAGGGUGGUGGAAUUCCGGGUGUAGUGGUGAAAUGCGUAGAUAUCCGGAGGAACACCAGUGGCGAAAGCGGCCACCUGGACUGUACCUGACGCUCAAACGCGAAAGCUAGGGGAGCGAACGGG